UACGUAGGGUGCGAGCGUUUAAUCGGAAUUACUGGGCGUAAAGCGUGCGCAGGCGGUUUUGUAAGCCGGAUGUGAAAUCCCCGGGCUUAACCUGGGAAUGGCAUUCGGGACUGCAAGGCUGGAGUGCGGGCAGAGGAGACUGGAAUUCCUGGUGUAGCAGUGAAAUGCGUAGAUAUCAGGAGGAACACCGAUGGCGAAGGCAGGUCUCUGGGCUGACACUGACGCUCAUGCACGAAAGCGUGGGGAGCAA
rnacentral:rRNA from 1 species